UACGUAGGUGGCAAGCGUUAUCCGGAAUUAUUGGGCGUAAAGCGCGCGCAGGCGGUUUCUUAAGUCUGAUGUGAAAGCCCACGGCUCAACCGUGGAGGGUCAUUGGAAACUGGGGAACUUGAGUGCAGAAGAGAAAGGCGGAAUUCCACGUGUAGCGGUGAAAUGCGUAGAGAUGUGGAGGAACACCGGUGGCGAAGGCGGCCAACUGGACGAGUACUGACGCUGAGACACGAAAGCGUGGGGAGCAAACAGG
rnacentral:rRNA from 1 species